rnacentral:tRNA from 1 species
UCUAAUGUGGCAGAUUAGUGCAAUGAAUUUAAGCUUCAUAUAUAAAAUUAUUUAAUUUUCUUUAGAA